rnacentral:rRNA from 1 species
AAGACUACGUGAGCAGCGGAGGGACAACGCAACGCAGAAAUUCAAAGCGCUGUUUCCCGGAUUUUUUGAACAUUCUCUAAUAAGGUGAUAACCCUUUGAUGGUUAAGCUACAAAGGGCACACGGUGGAUGCCUUGGCGCCAGGAGCCGACGAAGGACGUGGCGAACGACGAAACGCUUCGGGGAGCUGUAAGCGAGCUUUGAUCCGGAGAUGUCCGAAUGGGAAAACCCACUAUCCGUAAUGGGAUAGUACUCCUGCCUGAAUCCAUAGGGCAGUGAGAGGCAUACCAGGGGAACUGAAACAUCUAAGUACCCUGAGGAAAAGAAAACAAUCAGUGAUUCCGUAAGUAGCGGCGAGCGAACGCGGAGAAGCCCAAACCAGAAGGUUCGCCUUCUGGGGUUGUAGGGCGUCUCACAUGGAGUUACAAAAGACGGUCAUAGACGAAGCGGUCUGGAAAGGCCCAUCAGAGAAGGUAACAAUCCUGUAGUUGAAAUGACCGUCUCUCCGAGACGUACCCUGAGUA